AUGAAGUUCAUUUACACUUCUCUAUUUUCAGUUUUAUAUUUAUACACGGUGAUCUGUUGUAUUUCAGUAGCAGUUGUUAUUAGCAUAUUACAAAUGAAAAAUGGAGUCAGUCAGCAUCUUCAUGCGAAUUCUUGAAAUUCUCUCCAACAUUCAUCUUCUUAUAUUCGUUUUCCAUGUUUAUUUAUUAUUUUAUUCCAACUAUUAAGAUCUUACGGAAUUCUGCACAAAGGUAGAUAAUGUUCACUGAUUGUUUUGAUGUUAUUUUACGUUUACGCGAUUUGUUUUUCAUUUAUUUACGUUUUUUUUCAGUUACACUGUUUGGAAGAAGCCAUUUUAUGUUGCCAAUAUUUUCUUUUUUAUUUUAUUUACCAUAAACAGCUGUCUAAUGUCGGCUGGUAUUGCCAUAACGUGUAAUUCUAUCGAAUCUCAGUUUUCACAUUUAAAUUGCAGAAAUGGAAUUUCUAACUUUGCCAACAGAGACAGUAAAAGAAUAAUUUAUGCUCUGCUUCGUUUACUGGAAAUAUGUUUUUGGAGUUCGUCAAUCGCUUAUGUUAUAAUUAUUGGUUUAUCUUCCUGUUUGAUAUUCCAAAGGAAAACAUUUUCGGUUACAAAUUCCACAAUAAUGCUAGACACGUUCUGAGAAUGUAAAAAUGAAUGUUAAAUAAUACGAAGUAGAAAUAUUUAUUUUAAAAAUUGUUUAUGUAACAAACUUGUUAUGAAUAAUAAGACAGUUUACAUAUUGGAAUUACAUACAGAAAUAUUUUAAAAUAUUGUAUUGAUGUUUUAUAUAUAUAUAUAUAUUGUGAAG
rnacentral:lncRNA from 1 species